UUUCUUCCUGCUCAAAGUUUGUCUUUGCUGAACUUCGUGGAGUGGAGCUUGUUGUUGGUGUGUGUGAAGAAACUAGGGACGGUGGGCGCAGCCUCAUCGCUGGAACCCCUGGAAAACAGUCUUUAGCAAUGGAGGCUUUGAGGCGAAAAAACCCCAAAAACAUUGGCUGAUGAACAGUUCGACGGCCCCGCAGACGCCGCUUCAUCUUGGAAGCUGUGGCGAGGGAAGCCGACGCCGGAGCUGAGGGUGACGCGGUGGUGGACUCCUCAUUGUUUGCUCACAUGCUUGUGUCAUGGAUGUUUUAAAAAUAACCUGCAAACACCUCGUGAGCGUGAUUUGAAGUGGUUUUAAUAAAACACAUUGCAAUGUGGAGAGACGCUCUGGUCAAACACCCAAGCAGUCUGAAGAUGAGCUACUGCCCUGAACUAUUUUAUACACACACAGAAACUCUCAAACAAAGAACAUUACACAGCUCUUACAUGCUGGCCCAAUCUCACAGGGGGGCUAUACCUUCAGCCCCAUCCUAAAACCUUCCCCCUCACAGAGAGACUUAUGACUGUUUUUCACUCAGCGUUAUCGCCCUUGAGCAGGGCACCUGGACAUCUUCAACUCUACAAAAGGCCCUCUGUGGAGGUGCAAUAAAACAUGAAGGCCCAGUUGUGAUAACAUUCAUGCAUACCACACUGUGAGAAAGUGAUAUUACUACUACUACUAAAGUGAUAUGGUUAAAAUAUGUGAUUAAUACAUAGAAUAAAGAAAUCUUCCAGUACACUUGCCAAAAAUGAAGCAGGUGACGAGAGGUCUGACUGUGAUGGUGAGCAGAGAUGGGCAGUAACACGUAAUCUGACUACUUUUGUCAAGUAACGAGUAAAGUAGGGGAUUACUAUUGCAAAAACAGUAAUUAGAUUACCGUUACUUUCCCGUAGGAAUGCUGUGUUACUGCGUUACUAAAACCGUGAUUUUUUUGCGAGAAUG